CUAUUUAGGUAGCGCCUCGUGAAUUCAUCUCCGGGGGUAGAGCACUGUUUCGGCUAGGGGGCCAUCCCGGCUUACCAACCCGAUGCAAACUGCGAAUACCGGAGAAUGUUAUCACGGGAGACACACGGCGGGUGCUAACGUCCGUCGUGAAGAGGGAAACAACCCAGACCGCCAGCUAAGGUCCCAAAGUCAUGGUUAAGUGGGAAACGAUGUGGGAAGGCCCAGACAGCCAGGAUGUUGGCUUAGAAGCAGCCAUCAUUUAAAGAAAGCGUAAUAGCUCACUGGUCGAGUCGGCCUGCGCGGAAGAUGUAACGGGGCUAAACCAU
rnacentral:rRNA from 1 species